AAAUGAUCUCGGCAACGGAUAUCUCGGCUCUCGCAUCGAUGAAGAACGUAGCGAAAUGCGAUACUUGGUGUGAAUUGCAGAAUCCCGUGAACCAUCGAGUCUUUGAACGCAAGUUGCGCCCGAAGUCGUUAGGCCGAGGGCACUCUGCCUGGGCGUACAU
rnacentral:rRNA from 1 species